GUCAUUGGUGUUGCUUUCGUCUCACAGUUCAUUGGACAGACCGUACUGCAUAUUAUGCUGAGCAUAUUCGGUAUGGUAGGCAGACCAUUGUUAGGUCUUUUCAUCUCGGGCCUAUUUCUGCCGUGGAUAAACGAAUGGGGGGCUCUGUCCGGCCUGAUAAUCAGCUCCUUGCUCAAUUUCUGGGUAGGGAUUGGCUCGAGCGUUGCACUUCCGGUACCGGAUGUAAUUC